AAUUAAUAUUUAAUAAAUGAAUAGUAAUAUUUAUGGGAGAUUUAUUUAUUAUUUAUCCUCAAUAAAUAAUUACAUGGUUAUAAGAAAUGAUUUGAUUUCAUUAUAUUUAUGGAGAGUACGAGUUAUAAUGUAUGUGUGACAAGUGACAACUAGUUAAUCUAACUUGAUUCAAAAUUGACAUUGAACUUAUUUUACAUAUUUGGACUUCUAGUUUCUAAAUAAUUAGGCAAAUGAAAAUGAUAAAUACUCUCUCCACCCAAAAAUUCAUAAACGUGAAUUAAUUUAUUUAACUCUCUCUUCUAGAUUAAUUUUAAAUUAAUUCAGACCUAACACAUUUUAACAAUAAAAUUAUAUUGUCCAUUGCUCCCGCCUCUCGACCGUUGAUCUAAGAAUUCUAAAUUAUAGUUUUAAUUUAGAGUUUUGUCAAA
rnacentral:lncRNA from 1 species